UCCAUUACUUCACAAAAGUCUCCCAGCACGCACCACGCACUCCCAGCACGCAGUGGCACCCUCCUCCCCUCCUCGUCUUCUCAGCCCUCCGUGUCUCACACCAGUCACCGGCGAAGCUCGUCGUUCGACUGACGACGGUGACGACCGACGAUUGACAUCCGACGAAUGACGACCUACGGUGCUGCCCUGCUUCUCGGUGACCACUGACGCUUCUCUGCUUGGCCCGGUCGUCUUCUUCUUCUCUAUUACUUCCUCGCCACUGCUGUGCGCUGCUAGUCCCGCUCCUUCUGCUUCGCUCUCUUCUCCAGUCUUCUUCUCAGCUAGGGAAGACAAGGACAAGGUACAAAAAUGGAGAUCUGCUCUAGCUAAAGCUGCUGAAAUUUCAGGAUUUACUUAUCCGUUGGACUCUGAGUUCUAGGGAAGACAAGGACAAGGUACAAAAAUGGAGAUCUGCUCUAGCUAAAGCUGCUGAAAUUUCAGGAUUUACUUAUCCAUUGGACUCUGAGUUGUGAGUUGUUGGAGUUCGUUAUUGACACUGUCCACACUUCACAGUGCAUAUGAAUUGGAUAAGUCUUAAUGGUUAUAAGUUAUGAUCCUUCCUUAUUUGUUCAAAGAGCCAGAACAGUGAAUCUGCGACACUGUGUUUCAGCUUGGCAUCCACGAUCGACGGCUUAGAAUUCAGCUGUCUCUCUGCUCUAAGUGACAGUCAGUGAGGUACUAAAAAUAUCGAAUUCGUAAGAAAUGUCUUGGCACCAUCGAGUGUGGAUGUAUGAUAGGUUGAAUCCAAUAAGAGGGGGUAUUAAACCUGAGUUUUAUGACAAGGUUGAGGAGUUUAUAGAAAUAAUUAGUAAGUUAGAUGUUGUGAAGUCGGAAGGAAAGUGUAGAUGCCCAUGCGUUAAGUGUAGAUGCACAAAUUAUAAAGAGCUGAACAUUAUGAAGAUGCAUUUGUGGGAAAAGGGGUUUAUGCCAAAUUAUUGGAUUUGGACAGAACAUGGAGAGAUUGACGACAUAAGGAUUAAUCAAACGGGAUUCAAUAAUUGUGGGGAAGGUGGUUCAGGAAGUGGUGCAAAUGUGGAAGAAUGUGAUAUGUAUGACAUUAGCUGGGAAGAUAACUCCAGAAGGUAUCAUGAAAUGGUUUUCGAUUCUGUUGGUCCAGAGGAUCCUCAUGUAGAGGCUAAAAACUUUUUUGAUCUUCUUGAGGUAGCUCAAAAGCCUUUGUGGGAAGGUUGUGUGCACUCUCAACUAUCGAUAGCUGUUAGAAUGUUAUGCAUUAAGGCCAAGGGAAACCAAUCACAGGAGUCAUUUAAGCAGUGGGCCACCUUAAUUAGGGAAAUUGCUCCUGAGGGUAGUGCCAUACCUAGGGAUUACUAUGAGGCUAAGAAGUUAGUGCAAAAGCUUGGAUUGAAGGCAAUCAAAAUUGAUUGUUGCUCAAACAAUUGCAUGUUGUAUCGAAAAGACGAUGCUGCUCUAACUAGUUGCAAGUUUUGUGAAGCACCUAGAUUCAAGCCUAUUUUCGAUGGUGGUUGUAAGUCCAAGAGAGUUCCUGUCCGACGGAUGCACUACCUACCCUUAAUCCCUAGACUUCGAAGGCUUUAUGCGUCAAUGAGUUCAGCUCCGCACAUGACGUGGCAUAUAAAAAACCAACGUGAUGAUGGUGUGAUGACCCAUCCGUCACAUGGGGAGGCAUGGAAAAGCUUUGACCGUAUCCACUCUGAUUUUGCUUUGGAGCCUAGAAACAUUAGGUUAGGUCUUUGCUCUGAUGGGUUUACCCCAAAUAUCCAAUUUAGCAAGCCUUAUUCUUGUUGGCCCGUAAUUGUAAUUCCAUACAAUCUACCUCCUGGAAUGUGUAUGAAAGAUCCUUAUUUGUUCUUGACUUGCUUAAUACCUGGUCCUAAUAACCCUAAAGCCAACAUUGAUGUAUUCUUGGGACCCUUGAUUGAUGAAUUAAAUGAGUUGUGGAAUCCUGGUAUUUUGACGUAUGAUAUUGUAGAAAAGAAGAAUUUCGUCUUAAAGGCAGCAUUGAUGUGGACUAUCAAUGAUUUCCUGGCUUAUGGGAUGUUGUCUGGGUGGAUGACACAAGGAAGAUUGUCAUGUCCUAUUUGCAUGGAGGGUACUAAGUCUUUUACACUAUCACAUGGAGGCAAGGCAUCAUGGUUUGAUUGUCAUCGGAGGUUUUUGCCGACAAACCACCCUUAUAGGCGCAAUAAGAAUGACUUCAGGAAGAAUAAAAUAGAAAGUGAAGAGGCCCCUACCAGAUUAAGUGGUUUGGAGAUUUGGCAAAGGGUUAAAGGACUUGGGAAGAUAUCAGAUAAUGGAAAGUGGAUCAAAUCGUGAGAGUAUGGUAUUACUCACAAUUGGACUAAGCAAAGUGUGUUUUGGGAGUUACCUUAUUGGAAGGAUAACUUGGUUCGUCACUGUCUUGAUGUAAUGCACAUAGAGAAGAAUGUGCUUGAUAACAUAAUGAAUACUGUUAUGGACACUGAUAGAACUAAAGACAAUGAAAAGGCUAGGUUAGACCUGGCUGAACUGUGCAAGCGUCCAGAUUUACAUUUGCGGCAUGUCGGUGAUAAUUGUUGGUCCAAACCUAAGGCAGCUUAUACUUUAACUUCUGAACAACAACAAGACAUGUAUAGGUGGGUGCAACAACUUAGAUUUCCAGAUGGUUAUGCAUCUAACCUUGCUAGAUGUGUAAGUCUUUUCCAGGGGAGGUUUAUUGGUAUGAAGAGCCAUGAUUGUCACAUUUUUAUGCAGUGCUUGCUUCCAACUGCAUUCAGAGAACUACCUACAAAUAUAUAGAAGCCUCUUACCGAGUUAAGCCAGUUUUUCAAAGAAUUGUGUUCAACCACUCUCAAGGUUCAUGAUUUAGAGGUUAUGGAGCAGAAUAUUCUCAUUAUCCUUUGCAAGUUAGAAAGGAUAUUUCCCCCGGGAUUCUUUAAUGUGAUGGAGCAUUUGCCAAUUCAUCUAGCAUAUGAGGCACGUGUGUGUGGACCUGUCCAAUAUAGGUGGAUGUAUCCGUUUGAACGGGUGAUAGGAGCAUUCAAGCGAACAGUGAAAAAUAGAGCAAGGGUUGAAGGUUCGAUUUGUGAGGCUUUCUUGGCAAAGGAGACUUCAAGUUUUGUUUCUUUCUACUUUGAACCACAUAUCUUAUCGAGGCGAACCCGUGUGGAAAGAAAUGAUGACGGCGGAGACACAAUUAAAGCCUCUUUAUCAAUAUUUAAUAGACCUGGUCGCAAGGUUGGUAAAGCUAAAGAUCAUUGGUUAGAUGAACAAGACAAGGCCGCAGCUCAUUUGCAUAUUCUACUCAAUGAAAGCAAAGUUAGCCCUUUCUAUAUGUUUUGGAAAGAAACUUGUCCUGGAGAAAGCGAUGACCGAUUUCCCCCUUGGUUUGCAUCAUAUGUUCAAAAUCAAUGUAAUGAAAUUGUUGAUCCUGGUUUGCAAUCACUUUCUUGGGGUCCUUCAAACAAAGCAACAAGUUAUCUAAUUUAUAAAGUAAAUGGAUAUACAUUUCAUACCCUUGCAAGGUCAAAAGGAAAAAAAAAACCGAUAACACCGGUGUGUUUGUUAAAGGUGAUAUAGGCAGCGGGGAAAGUGAUUGGUUUGGAGUAUUAGAAGAUAUACUCGAGCUUGAAUACACUGGUAGUGACUAUAAUCGAGUUGUUUUAUUCAAAUGUCAAUGGUAUGAUCCAAGUCGUCCAAAUGGAACACGUAUUCAUAAUGACUACAAAAUAACUGAAGUCAACCAUAGUAAAAGAUAACGCCACUAUGAUCCUUUCAUUGUCGCCCAAAAAGCUAAACAAGUUUACUUCUUACCUUAUCCUGGAAAUUGCAAGUCUAUGUGGCGUGUUGUUGUAAACACUAAACCAAGAGGUCGAAUUGAAAUCAAUCAUGUACAUGUAGAGGAGGAUGAGGAAGAGAAUGAUGUAGCUUAUCAAGCGGAUGAGAGCAAUCCUUCUAGGAUUUCUGACACCGAGCCUCCUAUCAGUCUUAAGUCUCCAUUUGGAGAGGACCGCAUUGUCGAAUUGUCCAUCGGCUCUAGUUCUGGGGCUAAUAAAAAUGAAGAUGAUGAUGUUGCAGACUUUGAUGAUGAUAUUGAUUUUUAAUAGGUGGUAGUAGUGAAGGAAAUUCAUUGGGAAGGUAAAAAGGUAGCAGUGCACGAAUGAGAUAGUUUGUUCUUCGCAUAGAAGAGAAUAUAGGUCAUGGCUCCUCGGGUCAAGGGUAAAGGUGUCAAGGGUCAUAGAAGUUCUCGCACCACUGCCGCAGCCGCUAUUUCAACCACCUCCACCUCUUCUGGGACUUCGGUUGUGCCAGAUUUUUAGUCAGGAUCACUUAGCCAGCAAUCGUAUUUGAUGGUACCUAAUCCAGGCUACACGGGUCUUCCUCCACCAAGUUGGCCUACUCCAGGAUGUAUGGGUCCCCCUCCUCCACCCCCUCCUCCAAUUUCGAUUCCUCCUCCUCCGCUUCGCAAUUCCAAUCUAUUAGUUGAUUCAGAGACACCUGGAAGCUCUAGUACAUCUCCUCCAUCAGAGACUGCAUCGGUUCCUAAUAGUGUCACAAAAGAAAGAUUGGUUCCCGAUGGAAAAACAAGUUGGUUACCUUUCCCUCCUGGUUCUCAGAAGAUUACAGAGAUCAUCAAGAAACGAUAUGAUAAAUCGUACAAAAAGUUUGGAGAUGUCCCUCUUCCGACAAAGAAGCUUUGGUUUAAGGAAUGGAAGAGCCACUUUCUUAUUGAUGAUGAUGAUGAUGAGUUUUUCUGGAGGGCUUUCAAGUAUAGGACAAGUAAGCGAUUUAGCCAAAUGAUGUCAGAUAUCCGUGAGGGUGUGGAUACAACCCACGAAUGGCUAAUUCCUGCUUACAAAAAGGUGUUGAAAAGGUAUUGGGAAACAGAUGAGAAAUGAAAAAAUAUAAGGAAAAAAGCAAGAGAGAAUCGAGCGUCACUCUUAGGUGGUUCUUUCCAUUGCGGUGGUUCUAUUCCAUUGAGCUCAACUAUAGAGAGGAUGAAGAAGCAGUUGGGUCGUACACCAACCCACGGGGAGGUCUUCAAAGAAACCCACACACUUAAAAGUGACAAGUCUAAAUGGGUGGACAAGCGCUCUCAAGACACUCAUGAGAAGUUUAUAAAAAAGUUAGCAGAAGUUCAGGCCCAACAUGUCGAGGCUCAAGCACAAGGAAUGGAGCUACAACCAAUUGAUGAAGAUUUGAUUUGGGAGGAAGUGUGUGGUGGGCAAAAGAAGAAUCGAGUUUACGGAAAAGGGUCAUUCUUUUCUAACUCUAUUAAGUCUGGAACCCCUUCUGCCAAUUCUGUAUCUGGAAGAGCACCAAGAAAUCAAAAUUUUGUUCCUGAUUUGCGAGAACAGAUUCAUAAUCUCAAUGAAGAGCUUUUUUAGCGUGUUACUCAACAAACAGAUGAGCGUAUUAGUAAGUUGUUAGAUACACGCUUGGCUCAUUUGGAAAAGACUCAAAAGAAGUUAGAAAAGUUGGAACGGGCAAUUGGAAAGGCCAAGAAGGAAAAGCUGAAACAAAAGAAAUGGAAUGAGGCUUAUGUUAGCUAUUAUGAGAAGGUUAGAGCAUCAAAUAGUUCUAGUGCAGUUUCACUACCACUGCCACCACCGCCACCCUCAAUGUCUUCGGAUGAGGACUAUGAUGAUGAUGAGGAUGAAGAUGACACUGAAGACUAUAGCUGAUAGUUUUAGCAUGGUUGAAUAAUAUACUAGGAAUUAUAGUUGAUGAUCAAUACAUUUUGUUUAUAUUUUGAAUUAUAUUGACUUGCUUGUUUAUAGUACUUUUCUUUUAGUUUGA